UACGUAAGUGGCGAGCGUUAUCCGGAAUUACUGGGCGUAAAGCGUGCGUAGGCGGUUUAGUGUGUGGGAAUUGAAAUCCCUGGGCUCAACUCAGGACCCGGUUCCCAAACUGCUAGACUUGAGCAUAUCAGAGGACAGUGGAAUUCCCGGUGUAGCGGUAAUAUGCGUAGAUAUCGGGAGGAACACCAGUGGCGAAGGCGACUGUCUGGGUAUGCUGACGCUGGAGGCACGAAAGCCAGGGGAGCGAACGGG
rnacentral:rRNA from 1 species